GUGUAAUUGCUGUGCAUGCGCACAAAGCAAAAGUCCCUUCUGAAAUCAAUAGCACCAAUUCAAACAAACAGUUUGGCUACAACUAGAUUCCAUUCACUGUGUUUCUUCCAUUGAUUUCAGUUAGAUAUCAGGAUUUGACUAGUGUGGGAUAUCAUAACAACUUGAAAGGAUUGUUCGUCACAGGAAAUAGAACAGAGACAGUAAGAAUUCGGCCAGGGUAGCACUUGUUUGGGUACAUCUCUUUUUAAAACUGUAUUUAUGUAUUUCAGCAUUUGAAGAUU